rnacentral:lncRNA from 1 species
GGGAAGACACCUGGACCAGCCCAGGAAGGAAUCAACAUGUUUUCAGUGUUUAGGUUUGGCUGAAUGCAGGCCCAGGUGCAUGGUUUCCAUAGGAAGCUAGUAUUGGACAAUGAGGUUCAACAUUUUGUCAGGGCAAGCUUAUAAGGAGUUCUCAAUGCCAACAUGGUCAAAAAGGCAAGUUACCACCUGACAGCUAUUCUUCUUUUCUUCACUAUUAAAAAAAAACAACAACAACAAAAACAAACAAAAAAAACCUGAUUUAAUUGAGACAAUAAUAGCUCCUGUAUUUUCAGCUCUCUCUAAGCUCUGUGUAACUAAGCUAUCUGUAACCCUCAGCUACAUGUAAAACUUGUCCAAACUGAUGGAGUGUUCUUUGGAAUAUCCAAGAAGGCCUUGGGAGCUGCUUCAGCUGGGUUGAACAGUUUUUCUGUCUGCUUUUCCUCCUUUGUGUUGAUGAUGGCUGUAUCAAUAGCCAUAUUGAGCCAUGAGGUGGCCUUAACACUAGAAGCUGAGGCUGGAAGUUAUAUUAAGAAUUAGAUAGAACAAAGAGUAUAGGCCCCAGAUAAAUAGGGGGAACUGCCACACUGGUCAUGACAUACCUUCCGCUGGAUUAAUCUUCUUUUUUUCACAUGAGAAAUAAAUAAAUUCCAUUUUGCUUUAGUCACUAUUAACCUGCCUUUUCCUUUCCCUAAUCUCAGUCAAUAUAGACAGAUUAAUGAGUAGGGUGAUCAGACUAUUCCUUAUAAUUCCCACCUCCUAGUGUUCAUGACCUUAUACAGUUGCCUUCCCUUGAGUGUGGGCAAAGCCUGUCACUUGCUUCUAACUAGUAGAAAAUGGAAAGGUGAACGGAUGUCAUUCCUGUUUAUAUUGUAUUUCUAAGACUGUAAUAUUAUUAGCAUAUUCCCUCUAGAGUCUGUUUCCCUAGCUAACUGUGAAGAAGCAGUCAUGCUGGAAGGGCCACCUGGAAAGAAGCUGAGGGUAGGCACUAGGAUAUGAAAGUGAGCACCACCCAACAGCCAGCAACAACCCCGAGUCCUCAGUCCUACAACCAAAAGGAAAUGAAUUCUGCUAACAAUCUGAGUAAGCUUGGAAGGGAAAUCUCCCCUCAUCAGCCUCCAAAUAUUGGCACAACCCAACUUGUACUUUGAUUGAAGCUUUUUGAGAGCCCAAGCAGAGAAUCCAGUUAAGUUGUCCCCAGACUUUGGACUUGAAGACACCAUGAGAUAAUAAAUCUGUUGUUUGAAACCCCUAAGUAUGUGGUCAUUUUUUACGUAGCAGUAGAUUGCUAAUACAAGGAAUCUAGACUUAAUCUAUAGUUCUCAAAGUUCUUCAUGACUACAGUUCCCCUAAACCUACAAAUUUGUCAUUCUAUUAUCCUACAGAAUGUGUGUAUUUGAAGUCCUCAGUUACCUUGGCUGUACCUAUAGUGUGAAAAAUAAAAGAAAUUUCCAAGAAGUCCAUGAAAUGCUUUUGCAUUCUUCUUCAUGCUUUCAUUUACACCUUCAUCAAAUGCAGGCAGGAAAGGGUUAGGGCCCACUCAGGCUUCUUGAGAAUGAUAGCUGAGUGAAACCCUCUUUUUAUUUGCACAAUCUGUGGCAUGACUGCAUUACUGGACAAAAAGUGGAUGUUUUGAAUUAAUGGACUAUCUGUACUUAAAAAUAAAGAAGUAGAAAAAUCACAGAUUCAUAUCUCCCCAAAGAUAUGACGAACAUAAAGUAAACACUGAGAUUCUCAGACAAAAAGGUGCCCCAGAACAGCGAAACAUUGUUAUUAAUUAACAUAGUUGUAAAAUUUCAGGUUCCAAGGAGAGAAAAAUCUUGGAAGCAAUUAUGAAAGUCAUUGUAGACUAAAGUCAUUUAGAUUAAAGAAAUAUUUCUUUAAGAAAAAUAAAACAUUAAUUAUAUCCUUUGAUUUUCCAAAUAUGAAUAAUCCAACUUGCUAGCUCUCAUCUAUCACUUACUGGUCUUGAAAAAAUUGCAGAUGACUAUUAAAUAUAGAUAUUGUCUAACAAUAUCACCCCAAUUGGAAUGCAUUAUAUUACAUAAACAGUUGCUCUCUCUGUCAUAAUAACCACAUAACAUUAAUGUCAUGGAAAUAGGUGAGGCAAAGAGAUGCAUUCAGUUCCUUUUCAGUUAAUAAACAUAAAUUCUAGAUAAUUAAGCAUCUUGGGAGACAAAAUUAUCCAACAAAUUAUGUUUUUUGAGGGGGGGCAUGGGCAUAAAUAAUGAGGGUUAUACAUCUAAUUUUUUAAAGAACAAGUUCCAAGUAUAUCAGUUACCCCCAUUGGGUUCCAAAUGAAGACAAAAUUUGUGACCUAGUUGUCAAUGUAAUACUUACAGCUAAAAUAAACCUUUUGACGUAAGGCUUAAUAUUUGACUUUAAAAUAUUUUUGCAACCAGAGGAGUUCCCCUUGUGACUCAGCGGUUAACGAACCUGACUAGGAUCCAUGAGGAUGUGGGUUUGUUUGAUCCCUGGUCUCACUCAGUGGGUUAAGGAUCUGGCAUUGCCAUGAGCUGUGCUAUAGGUCACAGAUGUGCCUUGGAUCGCAUGUUGCUGUGGCUGUUGCUUAGGCCAGCAGCUACAGCUCCAGUUCAACCCCAGCCUGAGAACCUCCAUAUGCCAUGGGUGUGGCCCUAGAAUAGCAAAAAAUAAAAUAAUAAAAUAAAAUAAUUUUUGUGACUAGAACUUUUAACAGCUACAAGCUUUCCUCAAACACAUCACAUGGCAGCCUUUGCCUCUUCCUCCAUCCUUUCACUCCACUAAAAGCAACAAAUAAGUAGAAAAAUUGGUAUGUUAAUCCUUAAAUAUUCCAUGUGUGAUUCUUUGGAAAUAAACUAUUUGAAUGUAGAAAUACUUUUGCCAGCAAUCAUACAUCUUAAUUCUGUGAUUAAUAGAAAAUUCCUCCAUAUUCUGGAACUAGGUUAACCAUCAAUCUUAGUUGUCAGUUAUGGUAUGAGUUGUUAAUGUUUUGCAUCUUUGAAGGACAUUGUUUGCCUCAUACCAACAUGCCACUGAGAGAGAAAAUUAAUAUUGCAAAAACUAAAUUUUCACAUGCUUCUGAAUUUCUAUCAAAUGAGAAUCCCAUAUAUUUUGUGACAGAUUACUAUUAUUUUUGAAUUUGAGUAUGUGAUCACUUUGGGGUAUGAUUGUUUAUUUUAAGUAAUUGUCUGUAUUAAUGACAGUAGUUAAUUUUUAAAUCUUAACUGAUUACAGGUUUUUUAAAAAAGAUCAUGCUAACUCUUCCAGAAGACGUAGAAUGGUUCAUAAGUUCUAAAGUG